rnacentral:misc_RNA from 1 species
GGAAGUAAAAGUCGUAACAGGGUUUCCGUAGGUGAACCUGCGGAAGGAUCAUUACAGAGUUAGGGUCUUCUAGGCCCGAUCUCCAACCCUUUGUCAAAUUUACUUUGUUGCUUUGGCGAACCCGUCUUUACGGACCGCCGGGAGUUGUUUCAACUUCUGGCCAGUGUUCGCCAAUAGCCCACUUAAAUUCUUUUACAAAAUUGUCGUCUGAAGUGAUAAUCAAAUUAUCUAAAACUUUCAACAACGGAUCUCUUGGUUCUG